rnacentral:rRNA from 1 species
UACGUAGGUGGCGAGCGUUAUCCGGAAUCAUUGGGCGUAAAGAGGGAGCAGGCGGCAGCAAGGGUCUGCGGUGAAAGACCGAAGCUAAACUUCGGUAAGCCGUGGAAACCGGGCAGCUAGAGAGCAUCAGAGGAUCGCGGAAUUCCAUGUGUAGCGGUGAAAUGCGUAGAUAUAUGGAAGAACACCAGUGGCGAAGGCGGCCGCCUGGCCUGUUGCUGACGCUGAGGCACGAAAGCGUGGGGAGCAAAUAGG